rnacentral:misc_RNA from 1 species
GAUGAAGAACGUAGCGAAAUGCGAUAAGUAGUGUGAAUUGCAGAAUUCCGUGAAUCAUUGAAUCUUUGAACGCACAUUGCGCCUCCUGGUAAUCCGUGAGGCAUGCCUGUCCGAGCGUCAGUAAAAAGCAACUCGGCCGCGGCUGGCGGUUGGUGAUGGAGGAAGAGCACGUCUCGUUGUCGGUCUUCCCUCCCAAAAUCAACGGCGGAAUGUCACUGGCACUCGGUGUUGUAGUAUUAUUCGCCGAUCACCCAUUGUUGUUCCUGCCGCCCAAACCCCCACAAUUCUCUUGAUUGACCUCGGAUCAGGUAGGGAUACCCGCUGAACUUAAGCAUAUCAAUAAGCGGAGGA